CGUAGGUGGCAAGCGUUGUCCGGAAUUAUUGGGCGUAAAGCGCGCGCAGGCGGCUUCUUAAGUCCAUCUUAAAAGUGCGGGGCUUAACCCCGUGAUGGGAUGGAAACUGAGAGGCUGGAGUAUCGGAGAGGAAAGUGGAAUUCCUAGUGUAGCGGUGAAAUGCGUAGAGAUUAGGAAGAACACCGGUGGCGAAGGCGACUUUCUGGACGACAACUGACGCUAAGGCGCGAAAGCGUGGGGAGCAA
rnacentral:rRNA from 1 species